rnacentral:rRNA from 1 species
GACGAACGCUGGCGGCGUGCUUAACACAUGCCAGUCGAACGAUGAAGCACCAGCUUGCUGGUGUGGAUUAGUGGCGAACGGGUGAGUAACACGUGAGUAACCUGCCCCUCACUCUGGGAUAAGCCUGGGAAACUGGGUCUAAUACUGGAUACGACCGAUCUCCGCAUGGAGUGUUGGUGGAAAGUUUUUGUGGUGGGGGAUGGACUCGCGGCCUAUCAGCUUGUUGGUGGGGCAGUGGCCUACCAAGGCGACGACGGGUAGCCGGCCUGAGAGGGCGACCGGCCACACUGGGACUGAGACACGGCCCAGACUCCUACGGGAGGCAGCAGUGGGGAAUAUUGCACAAUGGGCGAAAGCCUGAUGCAGCGACGCCGCGUGAGGGAUGACGGCCUUCGGGUUGUAAACCUCUUUCACCAGGGACGAAGCUAACGUGACGGUACCUGGAGAAGAAGCACCGGCUAACUACGUG